GAGCAGAUAGGCCUCCUGGUGA
rnacentral:siRNA from 1 species